AGGGCUGUAGCUCAGUGGUAGAGCACUUGCCUAUUAUGCAGUAGCCUGGGUUCAAUCCCCAGUACUA
rnacentral:tRNA from 1 species